ACCUGGGUGGCUCAGUCAGUUAAGCGCCUGACUUCAGCUCAGGUCAUGAUCUCACCAUUCUUAGGUUCAAGCCCUACAUCAGGCU
rnacentral:tRNA from 1 species